GAGGUUCUGCAAGCUUAUGAAUCAGCAUAUGGUCAACUGGUGAACAAAGUCAAAUCAGUCAUAUAUCUGCACCAUUCAGCAAAAAAUGAGGUGAUUAACAAAGUGAAAAGGAUUACUGGUAUAGGAAAAUAGUGUUUCCCAAUGACCUAUCUUGGUUGUCCUAUAUUUUAUGCCAGAAGAAGGAGUGAUUACUACCAGGGAUUAAUUUCAAAGGUGAUGGACAAACUGUAGUCAUGGAAAGGCAAACUUCUUUCUGUAGGAGGCAGGGCCAUAUUGAUUGAAAAUGUUCUGCAAAGUAUCUCAAUUCAUAUGCUGUCAGCAGUUAAUCCUCCAAGCUAUGUCAUUUCAAAAAUACAUAGCAUUUUUGCAAAAUUUUUCUGGAGCAGUAAUGUGGGAGGAAGCUCAAGACAUUGGUCAUCUUGGACUAACCUGUGUAUGCCUUAUGAGGAAGGGGGAAUAGGCUUCAGAUCCCUUCAUGAUGUAUCCAAGGCACUGUUCUGCAAAUUGUGGUGGAAUUUUAGGACAAAACCCAGUUUAUGGAGUGCAUUUAUGUGUCAAAAAUACUGCAUGAAAUUAAAUCGUGUAAUCAUACCGUGGAAGGGUGGAUCCCACGCUUGGAAGAAAAUGCUUCAAUGUAGGGACUUGAUCGAGCAUCAAAUCUACUGGAAAUUGAGAAUGGGAUCAGCUCAAUUCUGGUUCGACAAAUGGACAGAAAUGGGAGCACUAUAUUUCCAAAUGCCAGAAUAGUUUGCCAUUGAUGAAGACAUUCACAAUGUCAAUGAUAUGAUUGAAAAUGGUAUAUAGAAUAUGGAAAAUUUUUUGAGACUCUACCUGAAGAAUGGAAAUGGGAGAACUAUAUUUGCAAAUGCCAGAACAGUUUUCCAUUGAUGAAGACAUUCACAAUGUCAAUGAUAUGAUGGAAAAUGUAUAUGGAACGUGGAAAAAUUAUUUCAGACUCUACCUGAAGAGUGGGCUAACCACAUUGUGCAGAAUAUUAGACCCCCAAAAGAAAGUGCAGAGUUAGAUACACCUUUCUGGAUGCUUUAAGAAAGGGGACAUUUCUCAGUAAAAACAGCAUGGGAUUACUUGCGAAGAAGAGAUAUUCCAAGGAUAGCUUACAAGAUGAUAUGGGUCAAAGGCUUACCUUUCAAAAUAUCUUUCUUCUUAUGGAAGAUGUGGAAAGAAAAACUGCCACUUGAUGAUUUCUUGCGUAGAAUAGGAUACUCCAUCGCAUCUAAAUGUUGGUGUUGUGCUGAUCCUAAAGAGGAGUCUUUAGUUCAUUUAUUCUUCACAUCAAAUGCAGCUACGACUGUCUGAAGUAUUUCCUAACGAGAGCAAGAAUUCAAUUAGAAGGGUUGUCUUUACAUCAAGCAAUUACAAUAUCCGAGAGAGCAGGAAUUCAAAUAGAAGGGUUGUCUUUACUUCAAGCAAUUACAAAAUGUUGGACGACUUCAGUUAUACCUAGAUUGAAGUCAGUCUUCCAAGCUUUACCUGCAUGCAUUGUAUGGGAGUUAUGGAAGAGAUGAAAUAGUUUGAAAUAUGGAGAAGCAGUGUAAGUAAGAAGAAUUAUUUACCAAGUUUCAU
rnacentral:lncRNA from 1 species